rnacentral:lncRNA from 1 species
AGAGAUUAAGUGAGAGGAGUGAGUGUGAGAGAAAAGGUGGAAUUUGGGGAGAGGGAAAGAGAGAGGAGAGGUAAGAGUAGAGAAAGACAUUGAGAAAAUGGUGGAGGAGUUAUUUUGGUUUUAAAAAUCGUAUCACUUUGCGCGACGAAACAUAUUGGUCUCGCAAAGUUUUGCGUGACGAAUAUAAGAAUAUUGGUCGCACAAAGUCUAAAAAAAUUAUUUUAAAAAAAAAAAAUUUCCCGCAUCCCAUUUUUGG